GUCUACAGCCAUUUUACCCUGAACAGGUCUGAACCUGUGUGAUCUCAGAAACUAAGCAGGGUCAGGCCUGGUUAGUACUUGGAUGGGAGACCACCUAGGAAGACCAGGUGCUGUACAUG
rnacentral:rRNA from 1 species